GCUUAAGCAUAAACAAAGAUUAUAUCCGCCAGAAGAUUACGAGCGAAAGCCUAAAACUCAAAAGACUUGACGGUGUCCCACCUACCUAGAGGAGCCUGUUCCAUAAUCGACAACCCACGAUAAACCUAACCACCCCUAGACUUAGCCCAGCCUAUAUACCGCCGUCGCCAGCCUACCUUUUAAAAGUAAGAAAGUAGGCCAAAUAGUUACACACUAAUAAGUCAGGUCAAGGUGUAGCUUAUGGGGUGGAGGAAAUGGGCUACAUUUUUUAACUUAAACUAAACGAACCUAAUCCUGAAAAAGACAGUAAAGGCGGAUUUAGUAGUAAUUUAAACAAGAAUAUUUAAAUUAACACCUGCCCUGGGACAUGUACACA
rnacentral:rRNA from 1 species